rnacentral:rRNA from 1 species
GACAUAGGUGGCGAACGUUAUCCGGAUUUAUUGGGCGUAAAGGAUGCGUAGGUGGUGGAAUAAGUUACUAGUUAAAGCCAGGCUCAACUUGACGGAAGCUAGUAAAACUGUUCUGCUAGAGGGCAAAAGAGGUUGACGGAACUCACAUGAGUAAGGGUGAAAUCUAUUGAUCCAUGGAGGACCACCAAAAAGGCGAAGGCAGUUAACCAUUUUGUCCCUGACACUGAGGCAUGAAAGCGUGGGUAGCAAACUGG